rnacentral:misc_RNA from 1 species
GAUGAAGAACGUAGCGAAAUGCGAUACUUGGUGUGAAUUGCAGAAUCCCGUGAACCAUCGAGUCUUUGAACGCAAGUUGCGCCCGAAGCCAUCAGGUUGAGGGCACGUCUGCCUGGGCGUCACAUAUCGUUGCCCAAUGCCUAUUGCAGUGCAAUAGGAAUUUCUAGGGCGAAUGAUGGCUUCCCGUGAGCGUUGUUGCCUCGCGGUUGGUUGAAAAUCGAGUCCUUGGUAGGGUGUGCCAUGGUAGAUGGUGGUCGAGUUAGACGAUACCGAUCAUGUGCAUGCUCCCCAAAAUAUGGCCUCUAUGACCCACACGCGUCUUUUGACGCUCAUGACGAGACCUCAGGUCAGGCGGGGCUACCCGCUGAAUUUAAGCAUAUCAAUAAGCGGAGGA